rnacentral:lncRNA from 1 species
UUAGCCAAUGCUCACAUCAUUUUCAUAUACUCUUUUGAAAUCACCUCUUACUGGUCCUGAGAAGAAUGCCAUGAUUAACUUUUACAAAUGAAGGUUUAUAAGCCCCAACCAAAAAAAAAAAAAAAGGAACUUCAGAUCCACCAUUGAACAGGAGAUUUCUUCCAGAUUACGUGCUUAUUACUGUGGCCAGCUUGCCUUUAAAAGCUCUUUCACAAUUAGAGAUGAAAACGCCAUCCUUCUGCAGAGGCAGCCCUAGCUGUAGAGGGCUGGAGACAUGGCCCAGGCAAAGGAUAUCAAAGGUAUGUGUCAAUCAAACCUCCCACAGGCCAGUGCUCUUCAUCAUGAAAUGCAAAGGGAGAUGUUGGCAGAUACAGGAUUCUGGCCACAGCUGAGUGCUCAGUAUGUUUCUAAAUGAUAGCUGUCCUUGAUCUCCUUUGGUGCUUGCCUCAAAUUGGAAUCUUUGCCCCUGCGUCUUUACCUAAAACUGUCAAGUGCUAACUUAGAUCAGUCCAACCCAGAACAACAAAACCGGAAUCUGGGGGGAUGCCUGGCCAUCGUGUGUGUGUACAUGUAUGUGUGUGUGUGUGUAUGGUGUGUAUCGAGGACGGGGAGUGAACUGUGGCUUCAUAUUUCCACCCAGAUUUGGGGGAGGAAGGGAGGCAAGAAAUUGCUGACCGGAGGAAUUUGAAUGCUAGAGAAGCUGGCCAUUUGCUGUGUCUUCCCUCAUAUUUACUUCAACUGUUGUUAGGCAGUUCCUCCCACUCGCCUAAGACCCGUCUUCCUAAAUGGAGAAUUCCUCACACCCGGCCUCAACGGGAGGUGAAACCUGGGCUGCAUUUGAAGGGACUUAGCCUAACCGCAAGAGAUUCAUGUUUCCUGUGCCUCCAACUCAAAGUCAGAUUGCUAUGGGGGCGUGGAUCUUAACAUAACUAUCCAAACCCAAGAACAGCC